AGCAGUAGCCGCGGUAAUACGUAGGGGGCAAGCGUUGUCCGGAAUUAUUGGGCGUAAAGCGCGCGCAGGCGGUUUUUUAAGUCUGGUGUCUAAGUGCGGGGCUCAACCCCGUGACGCACUGGAAACUGGGAGAUUUGAGUGCAGAAGAGGAGAGCGGAAUUCCACGUGUAGCGGUGAAAUGCGUAGAGAUGUGGAGGAACACCAGUGGCGAAGGCGGCUCUCUGGACUGUAACUGACGCUGAGGCGCGAAAGCGUGGGGAGCAAACAGGAUUAGAUACCCCUGUAGUCCCUGUCUCUUAUACA
rnacentral:rRNA from 1 species